UCACCUCGUGGUAAGUGAUGCCCUUUUC
rnacentral:sRNA from 1 species